CCUACGGGAGGCAGCAGUGGGGAAUAUUGGGCAAUGGAGGAAACUCUGACCCAGCGACGCCGCGUGCGGGAUGAAGGCCUUCGGGUUGUAAACCGCUUUCAGUAGGGAAGAAGCGAAAGUGACGGUACCUACAGAAGAAGCACCGGCUAACUAUGUG
rnacentral:rRNA from 1 species